rnacentral:rRNA from 1 species
AUUGAACGCUGGCGGCAUGCUUUACACAUGCAAGUCGAACGGUAACAGGCCGCAAGGUGCUGACGAGUGGCGAACGGGUGAGUAAUGCAUCGGAACGUGCCCAGUCGUGGGGGAUAACGCAGCGAAAGCUGCGCUAAUACCGCAUACGAUCUCUGGAUGAACGCGGGGGACCGAAAGGCCUCGCGCAAUUGGAGCGGCCGAUGUCAGAUUAGGUAGUUGGUGGGGUAAAGGCCCACCAAGCCAACGAUCUGUAGCUGGUCUGAGAGGACGACCAGCCACACUGGGACUGAGACACGGCCCAGACUCCUACGGGAGGCAGCAGGGGGGAAUUUUGGACAAUGGGCGCAAGCCUGAUCCAGCAAUGCCGCGUGCAGGAAGAAGGCCUUCGGGUUGUAAACUGCUUUUGUACGGAACGAAACGGCUCUGGUUAAUACCUGGGGCUAAUGACGGUACCGUAAGAAUAAGCACCGGCUAACUACGUGCCAGCAGCCGCAGUAACAC